rnacentral:rRNA from 1 species
AGAUUGAACGCUGGCGGCAUGCCUUACACAUGCAAGUCGAACGGCAGCACGGGAGCAAUCCUGGUGGCGAGUGGCGAACGGGUGAGUAAUAUAUCGGAACGUGCCCAGUAAUGGGGGAUAGCCCGGCGAAAGCCGGAUUAAUACCGCAUACGACCUACGGUGAAAGCGGGGGAUCGCAAGACCUCGCGUUAUUGGAGCGGCCGAUAUCAGAUUAGCUUGGUUGGCGGGGUAAAAGCCCACCAAGGCGACGAUCUGUAGCUGGUCUGAGAGGACGACCAGCCACACUGGGACUGAG